UACGUAGGGUGCGAGCGUUAAUCGGAAUUACUGGGCGUAAAGCGUGCGCAGGCGGUUUUGCAAGCCGGAUGUGAAAUCCCCGGGCUUAACCUGGGAAUGGCAUUUGGGACUGCAAGGCUGGAGUGCGGCAGAGGAGACUGGAAUUCCUGGUGUAGCGGUGAAAUGCGCAGAUAUCAGGAGGAACACCGGUGGCGAAGGCGGGUCUCUGGGCCCGAUACUGACGCUGAGGAGCGAAAGCGUGGGGAGCGAACAGG
rnacentral:rRNA from 1 species